rnacentral:rRNA from 1 species
CACGUAGGGCGCGAGCGUUUGUCCGGAAUUAUUGGGCGUAAAGAGCUCGUAGGCGGUCUGUCGCGUCUGGUGUGAAAAUCCAGGGCUUAACCCUGGACCUGCAUCGGGUACGGGCAGACUAGAGUGCGGUAGGGGAGAUCGGAAUUCCUGGUGUAGCGGUGAAAUGCGCAGAUAUCAGGAGGAACACCGGUGGCGAAGGCGGAUCUCUGGGCCGUAACUGACGCUGAGACGCGAAAGCGUGGGGAGCGAACAGG